UUCCCGGGAUUUUCCAGCCCUGAAGAAGCCGGUGGGGAAAACGAAAGAGGAGCUGGCCCUGGAGAAAAAACGGGAAUUGGAGAAACGGCUCCAGGACGUCAGCGGGCAGCUCAACUCCGCCAAGAAACCCCCCAAAAAAGCGAGCGAGAAGCCGGAAUCGGCGGCGGCGGCGGCGGCGUCGCGACUCAGCGCCUCCAGCUCCAGCUCGGACUCGAGCAGCUCCAGCUCCUCCUCCUCAUCCUCCGACACCAGCGACUCCGAGUCUGGAUAAUUCCCGGGAAAAACACGGAAUUCCCGGGAAAAAUACAGAAUUCCUGGGAAAAAUACAGAAUUCCUGGGAAAAAACCACAAAAUUCCCGGGAAAAACGCGGAAUUCCUGGGAAAAAACGUGAAAUUCCUGGGGAAAACAACGGAAUUCUUGGGAAAAACCACAAAAUUCCCGGGAAAAAUAUGGAAUUCUUGGGAAAAACAAAAAAAUUCCUGGAAAAAAUAAAAACGAGAAGAAAUAAAAAAUCCUGGAAAAAUUUUGGGGAAAAAAAAAACCACCUGGAAAAAAACCCCGGGAAAUUCCUGGAAAAAAUUCCCAAAGGACAAAAAAA
rnacentral:lncRNA from 1 species